GGGGCCUUGGCGAAGUUGGGAUCGCGCUGCGUUCGCAAUGCAGAGAUCACGGGUUCGAAUCCCGUAGGCUCCACCA
rnacentral:tRNA from 1 species